rnacentral:rRNA from 1 species
UACGUAGGGUGCGAGCGUUAAUCGGAAUUACUGGGCGUAAAGGGUGCGUAGGCGGCGUCGCAAGUCAGGCGUGAAAUCCCCGGGCUUAACCUGGGAACUGCACUUGAAACUACGAUGCUGGAGUAUGGCAGAGGGAGGUGGAAUUCCACGCGUAGCGGUGAAAUGCGUAGAGAUGUGGAGGAACACCGAUGGCGAAGGCAGCCUCCUGGGCCAAUACUGACGCUCAUGCACGAAAGCGUGGGGAGCAAACAGG